rnacentral:lncRNA from 10 species
AAAAGUUUUGGUGAUGAGACAUUCAGGAAGAUCUAUCAAUAAAUAGCAAACCUGGUCCUUUUUAAGACACUGUGUAUAAAAAAAUUCCAAAAAGAUUAAAAUCAGUGCAGAAACCAAAGAACCAUUUUUUUCUAUAUCAUAUUGAUCAUUUCAAGUGGAACUGUUAGCUAUCUUAGAAAAAUUGUGGUUCUCAAUUGGUUUUGCCUCUAUCUCUGAACCACCAUUCCUAAAGGAAAACAUUCAACCAGAAAAUUUCAGCACAUCACAAUCUCUCUGAAGAUUAAGAAGUCUCUGUGAAGGACUGAAUGUAUAAAUUGAAAAAUUUUUGCUGUCACAUUUAGGUAAAAGAGAAAUCGUUCUUCAUAUCCCCUUCCUUUCCAUCUGUAGCUCACCUAUGUCAACUUUCCUCUCAGAAGUGAAAUAAAAUUAAAGCUAUGACACUGAGUGUCAGUCAUGGAGGGACACGUUCCCCACUUAGCCUUUGCUGAAGUGUUUCCAGAGACAACUGUCUAAUGCCAGGUCCCCACUUAGUGGGCUGCACUUUUCUACUCAUUUGCACAUAAUCCAGAAGUCACAUUUUGGGUUCACAGUUUCCACUGGGGUAACCUCAUUAGGCCUGGCCACCUCUGUGCUUCUUGUGAAGUCUCUGAUUUGAAGGAUUAGUAUCCUUUCCAGACUGUGUGGGUUGACUUUCACCCAUCUGGAGUUGCUUGGAACAAAGAUAACUACCUCAACUCCUUGUCAUGAAAGCAAAAAAAAAAUAGCAUUAGAGUUCUGAGAACAGGAUGUCAUUACGGGUUGUGCCUUGUCAGCUACAGGUAAGAUAUUUGAGUGGCUCCUCAAGCCUCCCCAACUCCCUCUCCAACCUCGCUACACAGUCUUCCCAGGUCUGGUAUUUGACCUCCAGACUGCCGCCCAGAAAGCAACUCAGAGCUCAGCAACACCAUGAUGAUGAAACACAAAUAUGUGGGCCCCCAACUUUGGAGACUCCACUGGUUGCUUUUGUGCAGCUCUUUCUAUAUAUGACUUUCAAAAUGGCAGCCAACCCUCUCAACUGUUGGUUGAUCUGAAUAUGUAAAGUUCAGCCUUCAAACCCAGCAAACAGUCAGCUAUAGGAUAGAGUUCAGGUGCUGGGGAAUGACCACGGUUGGCUGCUACGUUGGGAACCCUGGUGACAUCAUAUAUGGACCUGGGAAUGUAAAGAAACGUAGGAAAUCUGAAUUUAUGACUUUUCUAAUCUCUCUAUCGGGAUCCUUUUUUGGAAUCAAGAUGAUUUUCCUUCUAAAAGGUCAUUUUAUUACAGUAAUGGGCAGGGUAGACAUACCUCACUAGCGUACUCUCAAAAUUUCUUGCAUGCAUAUGCUUUCUCCGGCAUGCAUAUGCUUUCUACUACAAUGUGAACAAGCCUACGAAAGCUAGCCUAAUGGAGGAUGAGAGACCACGUGGAGGAGAGCUGAAGUGCCCCAGCCAGCAGCUAGCCUACACCCACAGCUAUUUUGCUUGUGUUCCACUCGUCCUAUUUGCAUAAUAUUGUUCUUUAAGUUAACCCAUUCUUAAUUUAUUGUUUUAAUCUUAAGCAAUAAUAUUCAAGAACUAAUGAGUUUUGUGUAUUCAUUAUAUUUUUCCAUAAUAUAUAUUAUACUAAUAAAUGCCCAUUCAAAUUUU